UACAUGCAAGCCCAGCGAAUGAAUUAGAGAGCUUGCUCUCAAGAAGUUAGCGGCGGACGGGUGAGUAACACGUGGGUAACCUGCCCAUAAGACUGGGAUAACUCCGGGAAACCGGGGCUAAUACCGGAUAAUAUUUUGAACUGCAUGGUUCGAAAUUGAAAGGCGGCUUCGGCUGUCACUUAUGGAUGGACCCGCGUCGCAUUAGCUAGUUGGUGAGGUAACGGCUCACCAAGGCAACGAUGCGUAGCCGACCUGAGAGGGUGAUCGGCCACACUGGGACUGAGACACGGCCCAGACUCCUACGGGAGGCAGCAGUAGGGAAUCUUCCGCAAUGGACGAAAGUCUGACGGAGCAACGCCGCGUGAGUGAUGAAGGCUUUCGGGUCGUAAAACUCUGUUGUUAGGGAAGAACAAGUGCUAGUUGAAUAAGCUGGCACCUUGACGGUACCUAACCAGAAAGCCACGGCUAACUACGUGCCAGCAGCCGCGGUAAUACGUAGGUGGCAAGCGUUAUCCGGAAUUAUUGGGCGUAAAGCGCGCGCAGGUGGUUUCUUAAGUCUGAUGUGAAAGCCCACGGCUCAACCGUGGAAGGGUCAUUGGAAACUGGGGAGACUUGAGUGCAGAAGAAGAAAGUGGAAUUCCAUGUGUAGCGGUGAAAUGCGUACAGAUAUGGAGGAACACCAGUGGCGAAGCGACUUUCUGGUCUGUACUGACCCUGAGGCGCGAAAGCUUGGGGAGCAACAGGAUAAAUACCCUG
rnacentral:rRNA from 1 species